GUACAUAUAUGUACAUAUAUAUGUACAUAUAUAUGUAACUAUAUGUACAUAUAUAUAUGUAACUAUAUGUAC